GAUGAACGCUGGCGGCGUGCCUAACACAUGCAAGUCGAACGGAAAGACAUGCAGCUCUUUCUUUUACCGUUAGCGGCGGGCGGGUGGGUAACGAGUGGCUCACCAACUACUUUCUCUGGGAUAACUUCGUAACGCCGGAUCCAAUAUCGCAUCACACUUCGUACCGCAGGGUUCUGAGGGUCAUGGUUCCUUUGCUGUUAGUGUUAGAGGAUGCCGUGUCGUCUGAGCUGGUUGGUAAGGUACCGGCUGACCAAGGAAACGAUACGUAGCCGACCUGAGAGGGUGAUCGGCGACACUGGAACUGAGACAGGGUCCAGACGCCUACGGGAGGCAGCAGUAGGGAAUAGUCGGCAAUGGGCGAAAGCCUGACCCAGCAACGCCGCGUGGGUGAAGAAGGCGUUCGGCUCGGAAAGCUCUGUUGUUGGGGAAGAACAGCAGUGUACGUAGAUGAAGCGGUAGUGACGGUACCUAAAGAAGAAGCACCGGCUAACUACGUG
rnacentral:rRNA from 1 species